CCAGUAGGGAAAAAUGGAAGAGAUGAUGAAGAAAUGAUCCUUUGGUUUCUAUAAGACCGGAAAUAUUCUGUGGAUGAAGCUAUUUCAAAAUUGACCAAAGCCAUUGUAUCCAAACUGUCACAAUUUUUGUUCUUUCAACUGUAAUAUAUGUUUGAAGGUUUUGAAUUUGCUACCAUUGAAUGAUUUGAUUCGUGGAAAUGUGCAAGUGAAAGCAUAAAAAACAGCCACAGAGCUGUAUUUGCUCCACGUACAGUUUUGUGUGAGCUUUUUGGAUAUUGUGUGGUUUUCCUUCUACACUUGCUGGAAAUGGCGUGAAGAAUUUAAAGUGUCGGAACUGUCUGAAGAGCCAGUGAAAAGUCUAGCAAACACUGGAAAAUCCUAGGUGCAUGAUUCUCUUGAUGUGUAUGGAAGGCCAGUGCUUGUAGUGGUGGCAUCCAAGCACUUUCCUGCUAUGCAUAAUCCUGUUGAGAAUGAGAAGCUGUGUGUUUUUCUAACUGAGAAGAUCACUGCAAAAGCACCCAGCUGGGAAAGAACAAAUAUUAGGAAUACUUGAUCUCCGAGGAUUCAGUACUGAGAACACAGAUUUUAAGUUCUUGACCUUUCUGGUAAUUCUUACAAUCAGCUGAUGAUUUCUUAUGACUAGUUGGAAUUUCACAAAUGUGAUUGUCUGUUGCUGCUCUGGCCAUUAACCUGUUUCUUUUAUUGUGCUGGUGAAAACUACAUACUAGGUGAUGAUUUACAAUUUGUCGACUUUGCAAACAUUUAAGGUCUGCAUGGCAACUACAAGAUAUUAGGGAAUGGAAGAGAAACUAAACUGAGGAAAAGAAGGGUAAAGAAAAGAAGGGAAAUCAAAUUUCUUUGUUUUGUUUAAGAGAAGUGAGCAAAAUGAAGUUUUCUUUGUUUGGAUAUAUGAAUGGAAAAGAAAGAAAAACAUUUUUUUAGAGGAUACAAUGAGUAAAAUUCUGUCAAUUUUUUCAUUUCCUUAGCUUUCCUCCUAGUUUGGGCUGAAAACGAAGUAAUUCUCGUGCACAAGUUUGGGUUCUACGGGAACAACACAAUUUCAGUCAUCUUUGCACAGCCAUAAAAAGCCAAUUCUUUCACGCCUCCAGCAACAGAAUAAUUAUCAUUCUCCUCAGCUAGAUCAGCUACCGCACCAGACCCAUCUCAGCCGCCACAAACACAGUUCACCCUCCCAACAGCCAACGGCAACCAGCAGCAAAUCAGGUCGCAUCCUUGCACAAUAGAGCUGUAUGAGUACGGCUGCAAGUAACAGCAACAUAGAUUCACUGCAGGCUUUCAAGGCAAAUUAAUUAACCCCUACCAUGUCACCAACCACAUCAGCCCAUUGCUACCACAUCAACACCACAUCAGCCGGUGAAGCCAUGUCAGCUCCAUGUCAACCAGUGAAGCCACAUCAUCACCACAUCAGUCAAGGGCUGCUACACCAGCUGCCACGUUGUCAGUUUCUGCCACCUCAGCUGCCGUGACCAUGUCUGUCAUGUCACUGUCUUCCCCACGUCAUUGACAUCAAAUUCCAACAUACUCCCAGGCAAUCUAGUUAGUAAAUUACUCUAUCUUUUGUUGAAUUUUACUUUUUUUAUUUUGGUUUUGCUUUUAUCAUUUAAGGUUAUUAUUAAUAUUAUUUUUGUGCCUAAAA